rnacentral:lncRNA from 1 species
UCUCGCUAGAACUAGAAAGGCUCUUAGAGAAAUGUAGUAUAAAAUCUCCCCUCUUUCUCUACCUUAUCAUCUGCUCCCAUUUCAUAGAUGAAGUCACUGAUGCUCAUUGAAGUUAAAUGACUUGCCCACAGUCAUAUAGCAAAAUUAAACUGUAAAGCUAGGAGGAAAAACCAGGAGUCACAAAUCAAACUCUAGGAUUUCCAUUUAUGCCACUCUAAAAAUGAAAUAAAAUGUAAUAUAACAUUAAUCAAAUAUUAAGGCAAUAGUUCCAAUAUGCUCGUUGGGAUCAUCUUAUGGGCAAACACAUGUAUCCUAAUCCUGUGCACAUAAAGACACUUGUUUAUCUCUUGCUUACUUACAGUACUAGAGGCAACAAAAGCCUUGAUAAUCAUCACUGAUUGAGAGCAUAAUGGAGAGAGUAGUAAAGCUUGAAGGCACAUUCAACAUCACUAAUCCAACACUCCCGUUAACGGGGACAUGUAGACAUAGAGAAGGAAAGAAUCCUAGGAGAGGCCUCUGAGUAAAUAGCCUCUUUGGAGGAAAAAGGCUACAUGAAUGCACAAAAUUUCCAGAUGAUAAAUAACCCAGAGACUGUGCUCACAAGCUCACUUUACCAAGGGUAAUGAGGAAAUACUUCCUAAUUUUCAUCCUAGGAGUGACUUGGAUCCAGAGCUCUUGCGAAACGAAGGAGUCAGCUAUGAGAGCCAACCAUGCAAAUGCACCUUGAUGGCUGCACUCACUCGAAAGUUGUGUGCCAGGUACUGAGAAUGGGGUGAUCACACCUCUUUACAGUAUUCAGAAAAGCCGCCCCUCUCCAAAGUUAAAGCUGCUAAACUGGAUCUUGGAGGACGAGGAGGAACAAGCUUUCUGUUCCCUUCUCAGGCAGGGGCAGAGCCUUCUCAACACCGUCAAGCCAAAAGAUCUCAGCCAACAAGCCCCUCCUACAGAGAAAGACUGGAACAAAUACUCUUGCCUUUUCCAGCUUUAAUAGAGGACUACUGUGACUUAGUUUACUCCUGUCCAAUGACAGAUGUCUGGAAACUGAUUGGAAACUUUGAGAAAUUCAUUUCAUCUCUCAUGUUUCUGUUCUCUCCAUCUGUAAAACGGGGUCAGCUGUAUUGUACCUCAUGUGCAAAUCUGUGUGCUGUGAGGUUUAGCGGGUAAGUGACUGCAAAACAUGUUGCAGAUGGAUGUGUUAGGGAGGAAUGCUUAAUAUCAAAGCGAGAUGUCAUUUUCUUUCACUCUGCAUCUGUAGUUUGUAAAACAAAUGCUUCUAAAUUCACAGUAUUUUUCUCACAUGUACUAUUUUUUCCAGAGUGAUAUUUUCCCAAAGACUCAUGCUGACUUAAGCUUCUGGAACCUUGUGGGUGGAUCUGCUAAAUUAAAGACUUGUAUUUAAAUUUUCUGCAUAACACUGGUGGGCUGAAUGCACCACAGUGACUGAGGAAAGUAGAAAAGAUUUCUAGUCCUCAGGGGCAUGAGUAGAACUCCAUGGGUCAGGGGGCUGUGAAUCCAACCAAAUGUGAAGCCAUAUUUUUACCAAAAUGGAUAAACAGAAGCAUCACCAGUAUCCUGGAAAAACCUCAAACAUAGUAAAAUAUAAGGCUGUCUAGCUAGAUUAUAGAGGGAUAAAUAAAUAGAAAGAGUGAUUGAUUGAUAGACA